GACGAACGCUGGCGGCGUGCUUAACACAUGCAAGUCGAACGAAGAGCGACGGAAGCUUGCUUCUAUCAAUCUUAGUGGCGAACGGGUGAGUAACGCGUAAUCAACCUGCCCUUCAGAGGGGGACAACAGUUGGAAACGACUGCUAAUACCGCAUACGAUCUAAUCUCGGCAUCGAGGAUGGAUGAAAGGUGGCCUCUACAUGUAAGCUAUCACUGAAGGAGGGGAUUGCGUCUGAUUAGCUAGUUGGAGGGGUAACGGACCACCAAGGCGAUGAUCAGUAGCCGGUCUGAGAGGAUGAACGGCCACAUUGGGACUGAGACACGGCCCAGACUCCUACGGGAGGCAGCAGUGGGGAAUCUUCCGCAAUGGACGAAAGUCUGACGGAGCAACGCCGCGUGAGUGAAGACGGCCUUCGGGUUGUAAAGCUCUGUUAAUCGGGACGAAAGGCCUUCUUGCGAAUAGUGAGAAGGAUUGACGGUACCGGAAUAGAAAGCCACGGCUAACUACGUG
rnacentral:rRNA from 1 species